CGGCUGGACUUCCAGCACCGACGCCGACGCCAACGGCGGGCACUCCUUGCUGCUGCUGUUGCUGUUGCUGUCGCUGCUCCUUCUGUGCCGCCAAGUUUCUCAGCACCCUGUUGAUGGACGACACCUGAAACAGCAAACGAGAAAUACGUUAGAUCAGCGGUCCUCGAGUUUCUAUGAGCGAGAGGCAGAGCGAGGAGAAAUCGCGUGUCCAGGAUUACGCGCGGAGUCCUGGGAUUGGCCAUGGGAGAUUUUCGUUCCCCGAGGUUUGUUAGACCCGAUGUCAGGGUUCCACGGCGUUGAAGCGAGCUGACAUCUCGGACCCACGAGCGGAGCAGUGUCAUCCCCCUCAGUGCACACGCGAACCCAUCCCCAUCACGGACACGUCCCAAACACGAAACAGACAUCACCGAUACUCUCCCUCUUCGAUGUCCUUCAACGUUCCGGUUGUUACGCUUUCCUUCGAACGCCAUCCUGGCUAUAGAUCCUCGUAUCGAGACGGUUCGGACAAUUCUCUGGUUCAAAGGGAAGAGUAGCAGGCUUUAUAGGUUCGGGAAAGAUAGAAAAUGGAAGGAUAGGAAUUAUCUUGAGUUUAGUGGUCGGCAAAGGAGAGGUAGCGAGGUCGAGGUCCGGGAUGACUAGUCAGGAUGAAAUCGUCAGUUAUCGAAGGAAGAAAUUUGGAACGUUUGUUGCUGGAGUUUGACGGAGGAUGAGAAGAAGACAGUUAUCUUGACUAAAGCUGAUACAAAGACUAUGUUGGCAUACAACAGUAUUUUUUAGAGAAACCAACGGAAAAAAUCACGACGAAUUAGAGCUCUUUAGGCCCGAUACUUUGCGAGAAAAGAUAUCCGCAGAAGUACGGCAUAAUUUUCGUUCCAACAAAGCAGAAACCCCCUUUAACGCGAACAAAACACCCUGAACGGAUAUCUCGAAGACUGACGAGCGAAUAAUGAAUUCGAGAAAGCGAAAACGAUAAAUUAGCGAUACUCAAGUUAACUCGACGAUCUGGUUGACGUAACGGCAAAAGGGGCGCGGAGUCAACGACUCGAUGGCAGCGGUUGAAAACGUUGUGGGACCGAGCACCCACUCGAACGAAACUCUUUUCUUCGAAAUCGAACGAGAAAAGCGAAGUGUGUCUCGCCGUUUCAACGUUUCGCUAGUGGCAUGCCUGGCCGCGACAAAGCGCGCCAUUGUGGGAUCGAUUUCUAGUGCGGCGACGAUUGUCGCGGUAACGACGAGGGUGACACACGCGGCAAACGUCGCCUGUAUAAAGAGCUAAGAAGCAGCGAUACUUGUGGUCGACGUCGAUAAUAAUAAAAAAAAAAAAGAAAGAAAAAAAUAGUGAAAAAGGAACUGGGCCAAAACAGGCAGGACACUCGAUGUCACACCAGAGCCCGGAUUGUUGUUUGACAGGGGCACCCGUUCUUUGGGUCGCUGGCUUUUGUCGUCUUGCCACAACGACUUCUCAUUGUGCGGGGAUUCCCGACGUCGAGUGACUUCGAUGCGACGGUUUUGUGCCGCUCGCGGUAUCGCAUAGGCCUGCAAGUGUUUUUGUUAGGGACGGAUGAUAUCGUUUCUGGUGGAAAGGUUGGGUGAGAGUUAAUCGUUGCGAAAAUAUACAAGUUUGAAUAUUUAUAGAAUUUCGUAUGGUUCGGUAGUAGACACAUACGUGACUCUGAAAUCGCACAUUUAAAUCGAAAUUCAUUUUAUCUAAAUCCGUAGGAUCACCUACGAACACUCCAAUUGCAACAAUUACUUUGCAAUCGUAUUAUCCUUUCGAUUUAUAUUAGGUUGUCCCGAAAGCGACUUGCACUCAAUUAUUUGAUGUGAUCGUGUUUAUAUAAAUAGACAAUCCAAUUUCAUAGAUAUUCAUGUCGUAACAGUAACGAAGCAAAAUGAAUCGUGCAUAAUUCAGUAAUGUAAUAUAAAAUAUUGUGCAUGUAUUACUGAUUAAUAAAGCGAAAGAAACUUUUCGGACAACCUAAUAUAACAUGAUUAGUACCUGUAAAUGGUCCUAUCAUAGAAUUUUUCAGAAAUCGAACAUGAGAUGUGGAUUAUGGAGGGUUAAUUGCGCCAAAGUCUUUUAUGAUUCAAAAAUGAUAGAAAAGUGUCGUCGAAUUGUCCGUUCCGAAUAAUGCUCGACCGACACAAAAGGCCUCGGAUAUUAUCGCGCGUCCGUGCGACUCGCAUAAAGAACGACACGCGGCGGGGGCUUGAAACACGGAAGGACCAAGAAGAAUCUGGCGGAUCGAUGAAAUUAGCAUGAACCGUGAAGAGAGCUAGGGGGCGACUCUUGAAAAGGGUCCACGGAUAGAGACGUCAUAAUAUUACCCUCGCGCGACGUCUGCUAAAGGAUUCGAUAACGAGCGCGAUAGUAAUUCAAAAACCAUCGCUAGAAUCGAUUUGGAA